UACGUAGGGUGCAAGCGUUUGUCCGGAAUUAUUGGGCGUAAAGAGCUCGUAGGCGGUCUGUCGCGUCGGCUGUGAAACCCGGAGCUCAACUCCGGGCCUGCAGUCGAUACGGGCAAACUGGAGUACUGCAGGGGAGACUGGAAUUCCUGGUGUAGCGGUGAAAUGCGCAGAUAUCAGGAGGAACACCGGUGGCGAAGGCGGGUCUCUGGGCAGUAACUGACGCUGGAGGAGCGAAAGCCGUGGGGAGCGAACAGG
rnacentral:rRNA from 1 species